GUACCUAUUCUUUCUUUCCCCUUCUUAAACAUCCUUUAAAACCAUAGCCAGAAAACUCACCAUCUCAGCUUGUUAUUAACAAUAUCCUUAUUUGUUCCAACAAAUAUAACUUGCUAUACAAGUUAAAUAUACAAAUAUAACUUAUUAAUAAUCUUAUUAACAAAUAUGACCAAAUUCUAUUAUUUUAGCCAGGAAAACUUAAAUGUCACAACAUUGAAAUGUCAUAUAUGGUUAUAAAAGUAUAUAUUUUGACUCACAUCUCAAUAUGGUGGCCUGCGACAGCCGGAUGACGUCAAAGUAAUCAAAGUAUCGCGAGAGCGAGACGAAAUAUGAUUUCUUGAAUCAUUCUCGCGGUACUUUGACGUCAUCCGACUGUCGGUUCUUGCGGCGCCUCAUUAAGUCAAACAAGCCUCCUGACUGCGUGCGAGAACAUUUGAAUUAUCUGGCACGAGCCCUCACACGUCAAACUUCAACUGACACAACGGUCUCGGUGGAGGUAAUAAGCAAAAGCGCCUUUAAAUCUCGUCAUUUUUUAUACACAUCCCGUUUAUUUUGUAGUUAAUUGUUAGAUAAGUUAGUAAUUUCGUCAAGUUUUCGUUACAGGGUAAGAUUUCGUUAUCAUCGUUGCCAUAUAACUUACAGUAUUAUUGGUUCAAGAGCGCAGUUUGAUAACUCAUUCGAGCCUUUAAACAUCUAAACAUGUCCUCCAAAAAGGUAAGUUCAGCAGAUCAGCUUAUCUUAUUCUGUAAUAUUGAUACUGGUUUGAGAAAAACUAAGAUUAAACAACGUACAUGUUUCCAGGAAAAAGGGAAAAACAUUGGAAAACAAUUUCAGCCUAAGGUUUCCUGUGCUGUUUCGCUCCAUUUUACAGAACAAAAUAAGUGCUGAGGUAGCACCAUCCUUGUGGUUAUAGUGAAAGAAUGUGGGUAUUGAGACCAAAAUAAAUAAUGUGCCAUUCUGGACAAACAGCUGUGGACAAUAUGCAGUCAAAGUAGCCUAUUUUCUCACACAGUUCAGUAGGACAGUAAAUUAUCUGAAAGUGAAAUCAUUAUUGAAGGUGAUAUCAUUGUCACUGCAUUCAUUGUUACAUGAUUUUAAACAGUGGGAAUCAUUGUGUAAGUUUCUUAAUAAUAUCAAAUACUACUUUUUUGUCUUGUUGUUUCUAGACCUGAGGAUAAGAUUUCCAGUUUGAAAGUGAAGAAAAUGAAUCAUUAUUAACAGCAAUUAGUAGUUUUUCAGCUGAGAAGCCAGGUGAAACUAUAAGGGCACUAUGAUUUACUUUCAUAUUAUCAUUCUUUUAUAGAUGAGGAGCAACCAGUAAGAAAAAGCAAAAAGAUGUUUUGAUGUUGCCUGAGGCACCUUAUUCACAUCAGUCAAUUUCUUCCAAUAAUGAAUCAAGAAAUCCUGGAGUGAAGAAUCAUUCUGAAACUAGACCAAAUACAGGACAACACCACAGCAGUGGUUGGAAAAAUGCAGCAGACAAUGAGCAAGCCAAGCUGACUUUCAAAAGAUGAUUCGUUAUCUGUUUCUUCAAAGGGGAGGCAGUUUGGGAGAUGGGAAAUAGGAGGAUGCUACAGUUACACAGGGCGAAUUUCAGCAGCUCAGUUUCACACUUGCAACUAACAAUGAAUUAUAGUUAGAAGACAACGGAAAUAUUUGUCAUCGGAGUCCAGCAGACAGCCAGAGACACGCACACACACGGAGCUGAAGCGCGUUUGACUGACGUGUACGGGAGAUCAGGCACGCGCACGGGAGCUGAAGCGCGUUUGACUGACGUGUACGGGAGAUCAGGCACGCGCACGGGAGCUCGCGCACGCACACACAAACACGGAGCACAGGAAAAUUACAAGUGUUCAAUUAAAAUAAAAGAACUUUGUGGUAAACAA